ensembl:lncRNA
UGCAUGCAGAGUUUUUGUGUAAUGUGAAUAAAUGCUGUGCAGUGAACAAGAUUAAACGAACCCAUCAAAUUAUGCACGUCUUGGAAUUGAUUCAGUUCGACAUGCAAUAAACUUGGAGGCACCGCUGGGAUUUGUAAGAAGUGCGAGCCGGAGUGCAAGACGAAGGGAUCACCGUGAGCACGCGAGAGACCGGAGAGUCUUGGCCGAGUAUGCGGAUGCAUAUCAGGAGCGUGAGAUGGAUCUGUAAGCUCUAGCCAAAUGGGUAACGGAGAGACUGUGGCUGUUGGCACUCUACCAAGUGAAGGAGGCGCAGGGAGAAAACGAGGAUGAGGAAAAUGGCCGCAGCAAUAAAAUGGAGACAGACAGCUCGCGGAUUGAACAGGAUGUGGUGAAUGAGGCGGAUUCACAGCAAAAUCUCUCAGAAUUGCAGAUUGGAAAUAUGAAGAUGAGAGAUAAAAUGGGAAAAAUAAAAGUGAAAGAGGGUGAGAAAGGAAAAAAUCUGCCUCAAGAACAAGAAUUUAUUGGCAUGGCCCCUGAAGUCACUGUGAGGAGGGACUUCAAAGUCUGCGGUUAGAUUGGAGUGGGCAAAAGGAUAAACUGUCAUUCACUAAUUUGAUGCACCAGGUUGACAAAGGGCUGAGAAGAAGCCACGGUGAAGCAGAAAUUAUUGAAGCAGUAAUAACAGCUAUCAGCCCAGGAUUGAGUUCACGCAAUAUGCUGGAAAUUAAAAGAGAUCUCACUCUUUCACAGCUGAAAACAAUAUUGAAGGGACAUUCCAAGGAGGACAGUUCUACAGACCUGUACUACAAGCGCACUUGUGAAGAAGGUGGCGAGUAUUUCAGUACAGAGCACAUUCAGAAGAAGUUUCUAUGCUCGGUUGGCACAGGUUUGAUCAGAGAUCAUAUUAAACUUCAGAUGAGGCCAUACCUGGACGAUUCAAAAAUCUCAGAUGAAAUGUUGAUAAACAAAAUGAACGAAGCUGCCAGUGAUGAAACAGAAAGACUAAAUAAACAAAAGAAGAACACAGGAAGUAAAGUGGCAAAAGUACAUGUAAGGGUGGUUUCCCUACAGUGGUUUAGGCUGUAGGAUUGCCGAAGGACUAAAGAAACGUUAUCAGCACGAUGGUAUAAAACUGUACAUUUCUAGUCUGUUACCACCCACUGCCACUUAUACCAACGACGGAAAUAAGCGCAGUUACAAUAGCUAAAUAUGUGGGAGAGCAUUGCUAUUAAGUGACUAUAUUGUAUUGCAAUAGGUAGCACUUCAAAGUUAAUAUUGAAUUGAGAUUAGUUAGCACAUAAUUAAUAAUUGAAAUGGUUUAAUAACAAUAUUUUGUUAUGGUUACACUUGAAUUGGUUACAAAAUAGAUGAAGGGUAGUAAAACAUAUAGUUAAAUGUACCUAACAUGUAUGUAAAAUAUUACCUGAGAGACCUAAUUUUUGACCCUACAUACACAAAUUGUGUCCAGAAAUGCAGGUUCGUCCAUGCGCGCAGGAUGAAAUGACCGCCAAAGUGUUGGUUCAGGAACAGUCAAGUGAUAUUGUCAAACAGGGAGGCAGAGAGGCACCAGCAGCAGAGGGGCGGGGAGAAUCAGAGUUAUAUGAGAUGGUUAAACUCCUGAGAGAGGAAGUUGCGGAACUCUGUAAAGGACAAAACAACCCUCCUGAGCGUAUAGUCAAGGGAAGGUCCAGCUACAGAAAGGGAUGCAGAGCUUGUCAGGAGAAAGGAGAAGAGGAUCGAUGCGAGCACUGCUUCAGAUGUGGAGUCGUGGGUCAUGCCGCCCGGGGAUGUAGAGCACCAAAGAAUUCAUCAGAGGGCAGAAGCGAUGUAAAAAUACCUGUUCAUUCCAUGAGACCAGACAGCUCAACCUCCAUUCUGAGUUACUGCGACCAACAAGAGAAAACUCAAGAGCUCCUGUGACAAAGGAUUAAACAGCUGGAGGCGGAGUUAGAACAAAGAGGAAAAACAGAGCAUGCUAGAGCUACCACCUACACCAACCACAUACCUUUUUGACGAUAUCCAAGCUUGGAGAACCUCAUUGGUCCUAGAUGUAUGGUUGACUGUUUUUUUUGAAUGCGUGCCCGUGCAGGCGCUCUGGGACACAGGGUCACAGGUGACCAUCAUCAAUGAGGAAUGGAAGAAUAUUUGCUUUCCCCACAUUGCGACACGCAAACUAACUGAGGUGCUGGAUGAAGGUGAAACCCUUAUUUGCCGAGCAGCCAACCAAACCGAUAUACCCUUCUCGGGAUGUGUGGAGUUGAAGUUUCAACUUGGGCCGAAAAGAGGGGGCCAGGCAGAACUCCUGGUACCUGUGCUUCUCUCCAGUGAGCAAGGCGUGGAUCAGCCUCCAAUUAUUGGUUAUAAUGUUAUUCAGCAGCUGGUGACAAAGGGAAUGGAGCAGUACCCUGAUAUUAGGGAUGGGUCACGAUUUUCUAAUAUUCGAUUAGUCGAUUUAAUGACAGAAUAUCGAUUAGGCUGUGCGAUUAUUUUCUAAGGAUGUGAACUGUGCCCGAGCGCAUCUGACCCCCAAAGCCUGGUUCGGUUGACUAAUGUGAUUGCUCCGUGCUGUGCUCGGACGUGGUUGGUUGGAAGAGGUGGGCCAGAGCAUGGUUCAGUUUAAUUAGGGUGCGGUACACAUGCAGUGUGAGCGCUAACUGCCCCAGAGCUGAGAACUAUUGAUACGUGCAGCAUGAUUACGGGAACAUUUCUGAGCGGCAAAUGCAAAAGAUCUAUAAAGCAAUAUGUUGUGAGAGGGUCUUCUGUGUCAUCGCGUCCCAAACGACUCAAAAUAAUAAACCACAAAGUUAACAAAACGAUGCACUCCACUGUGCUGAGUGAGAAACUUCCUGUUUCCCACGUAUUAAGUCGAUUACAAGUUAGCUGCAUUAAAAUUAGUUAUUUGUUAAAAAGAAUAAAAUGUUAUAUUCCACUGGUUGAUAACCAUAAACAUUUACCGCCCAUAUAUAUAAAAAAAAUCGACUCUGUUAUGUUGAUUUUUUUGAAGUAAAUAACGUUAUGUGACUAUUCACAAGCUUUUAAUUAUGGUAUAAAUGCUUUGAAAUAAUAGGUAACGUUUUAAUCGCAAUAAGCUUUGGGCUUUGUUACUUUUUAUUAUAACACAAAGCCUCAGGCUUCUGUCAAUUUUAAGAUAAAAUACAAACAAUAAAUGUUUUUUACACUCUUUAAUUUGAAGUGAGAUAUUCGCCUCUAAGCGGCAUGUGAAUCAAUUAUAUUUUCCUGUUUAAUAUUUGCAGCACGAAAUAAAAACCAAUAAAUAUUUGAGUGCAUGUUGGAAAAAAAAAACUGAACAAUUUAAUACAAAUGAGUGUCUCGUGAAAUAAAUCAAUUCGAGUUUAAAAAAUCGUCAGUAAGCCUAGUGCUGUUUUUCAUUUUAAAUGUGAAGAAUGACAGGUGCCACAUACUGUUUUUAAAUAAUUUUUUUGGCGGAGUAUACAGGAGUAAUAUAUUCAUAAAAUGUUAUGCUAAUCUUUUUUUUUUUUUUUGAGAAGGAUAAACUGACAAAAAUGCUCAACUCACUGUCUUGCGCUAGCCGCUUUGUAGGCUAUUUAAAAAACAAACAAACUUGAAUUUAACAAACAGAAAAUGUUCCAAUCAUAUUUCUGAAUUAAAUUAAUAAAGAAUCGAAAUUAAAUAUGACCAAUUUGACAUUAAAAACCAAAACUAAACUAUUAUAAUGGCUGCAACAGCAGCUGUGUAAUGAGGACAGCUACAAGGGCUCAGGUCGCACUCGGGCAGAGAAUUCUGAUUAGCCCCGGGCCGGCCGUGUAAGGCUCGAUAUGAAUUCCCUCGUUUCAAUUAAAAGCUCCCCCUCAGUUUGGUGGGUCCAUAUACUGUAAGUACUAUCUACUUUUUUCAUGGGAGGUAGCAAAAUCUGACAGGGCAGCAGAGAUCGACAGAACACCAGCCCGGAGCGUAAAGUGCAGUGUGAGUACAGGCCAGCAGGGGAAGGGGGACAACGCCAGAGGGUAGUGCUGCCAAUAACUGUAGAACUGUGGACAUGCUCAUUUUUUUUAAAUAAAAAUAUGAAAUAGGUUAUUGUUAUAAAUACAGACGUUAAAAUUAAUGUUCACGUAAGUGCUGUCAUUCAGGCUGUUCACAAUAUUUUUUAGCGCAUAAUGUGUUUUAAGAAUGAUAUUCUGUUUUAGCGCGUAAUGUGUUCUAAGCCUAAUAUUCAUAUCUGAAUUAAACUGUUCUAAUCUUAAUUAAUCUGUAAACUUUUUAAAAAAUUCUAUUAAUGUUCAUGCUCAUUUUAAAAAUAGAAAUGUCCUAGGCUCCUACAGCCUUGUGAGCAGUUGAUAAUUGACGGACUGUUAUGUUAAUAAGUGCUGUCAUUCGGUUAUGUUAUAUUAAUAUGUUUCAGCAAUCAUACAACCAUCAAUUGGCUUGGGUUAGGAUAGACCUUUCUCUAAUGAAUUAAACAGUUUGUUAUCAUACAGAUUGAAAGCCUGAAUAGUCUCUCUCCCUCUCUCUCUUUUUAUGGGUGUGUGUUUAUGCGUGCGUGGGUGCAUGCACGGGAGAGGUGCGAUUUUCGACUACUAAUCAAAUAAUACCCAGCGAUAAUCGAUUAUUACUUUUGCUUAAAAUGCACAUCCCUACCUGAUAUCAUUCCAGAAGUGGUAAAGGAAGCCUUCUCAUGUGACUGCAAAAAAGCUGUUGUAUUGAUUAGAAUGAUGCAGGAUGACGACCAAGUUGUAAAAGAAGGAAUUGUGAAAAUUGGACGGAUUGCUACAGUAGUUGCGGCCGGACAGACAAAAGCGGUGAAAUGCAGAGUGAGAGCUGGUCCUCUAGUCUCAAAACAGGAAGUCCUGUUUGAACCAGAAGUUAUUCCACAGUGGCCUGAGGGACUUGAUGUAACUAAGAUGGUAAUCAGUCUUCAGAAAGGAAACUUGACUAAAGUUCACAUCCCAGUUACCAACAUCAGCAAUGUGGAUAUUAUGCUUGCUCCCCGCACUGUACCAGGACGAGUUCAGCAAGUCAGGUACAUUUAUCCAGCAGACACCAAACCCGCUACUGUGAAGUCAGAGACCGUAAGCCUAAGACGGUCGGAGAUCUGAGACAACUGCUGGGGUUCCUGUCAUACUAUCGCACGUACAUUCCCAGUUUUUCCCAAAUUGCCAGACCCCUCUAUGUACUAUUGUCAACAGGAAAGCCUUCAGGAAAGGGGACAAGCAGUAAAGAUGACAACGGUUAGAAGGGUCGGGGUAAAGGGGGAAAACCAGCCCAACUUCAUUCCAGUCAGCCAAUAACUUGGACAGAAAAACAUCAGAAUGUCCUCCACCGACUACUUGAAUUUUGCUUCAUCCUCCGAUCAUGGGCUACCCUGAUUUUGAACAGCCCUUCAUCUUGCAUUGUGAUGCAUCACAAGACGGACUGGGUGCCGUACUAUAUCAGAGGCAGAAAGGGAAACUGGUGGUCAUUGGCUUUGGGUCGCGGACCCUAACAGCUCCAGAGAAGAAUUACCAUUUGCACUCGGGGAAACUGGAAUUUUUGGCGAUGAAAUGGGCCAUUUGUGAACGAUUCCGUGAAUACCUGUAUCACGCAACCUCCUUUGUGGUCAAUACGGACAACAAUCCACUGACAUAUGUUUUGUCCACGGCCAAGCUCAAUGCCACCACCCACAGAUGGAUAGCAGAGUUGGCUGACUACAAUUUUACCAUCAAAUAUAGACCAGGCCGCGUACACCGGGAUGCUGAUGGGCUGUCAAGGAUGCCUCUGGACAUGGAGAGUUACAUGCAGACCUGUUCGCUUGUACGCUUGCAACAAUAAAUCUGCAAAAACCUCAGCAGAAAAGAUCUUUGGCGACUUUGUUCUCAGAUAUGGGUUCCCCACUAUACUCCACCACAAUCGGGGAAGGGAGUUUGAAAACAAGUUGUUUGAGCACAUGGAGGUAAUCUGUGAUAUCCAACACUCCUGCACGACUCCAUACCACCCUGCUGUAAACGAGCAGGUGGAAAGAUUUAACAGAACAUUGUUGUCAAUGCUGAGAUCCCUGCCGAGUCAAGCCAAGGCUGAUUGGAAGAGCUCUCUAAACAAGGUCAUCCACACGUAUAACUGUACGCGCAGUGAAGUGACAGGUUAUGCCCCGUAUUACCUUCUGUAUGGCAGAAACCCGAGGCUGCCCAUUGAUGUAAUGUUUGGCCUGAAGCCAAGGGCAAUUGGAGUGUCGCAUAGUGAUUAUGCUCCCAAGUGGAGAAAGCGCAUGAAAGAGGCAUAUGAAUUGGCAUCAUGGACAGUUUAGAAAGAACAGAGGAGAGUAAAACAAGGCUACGACAAGAAGAUAUAUGGAGCAGAUCUCCAGCCGGGAAACAGAGUUUUGGUGAGAAAUCAGGAAGAAAGAGGUGGUCCGGGGAAACUCCGGUCAUACUGGGAGGAUCGAGUGCAUGUUGUGACAGAAAGGAAGUAUGCAGACUGCCCAGUGUAUGUGGUUAAGCCAGAAUGUUGCCCAGGGGAAGCGAGGGUCCUACACCGAAACUUUUGGCUGCCUUGCGACUUCCUACCUGUUGACUAUGUCCAGCAGAACAGGAGUAAAACUCAAUCAAGGGGGAAAGUGACAGUGGAAAAAGACAGUGGAAAAAGGGAAAAAGGACACACACCAAGUGGAUGCUGAGAUGGAAGAGGAUUCCGAUAACGAGGAUGACUGGAGAGGCUGGACAACAUUGCCGAUAAAGCAACGCGCAGAGAGAAAAAGCUGACCUGAAGAAGAGCUGAGGAGGAUGAGUGCCAAUUAAGGGCAACAGAAGGAGAAUUGGACCAAGAGCCAGAAUGCGAACAUGUACUGCCCAUGGAAAUGUGUGAUGAAGAGGACAGAAAUUCAGAGAAGUCUGCAGAUGAAUUGGAGGAUGAAACUGAGGUGGCAGAAGGGGGACAGGAGACAUCAUCCGAUGAGGCAGACGACAUCAGCCCAGCAGCAACUCAACAGCCACAAAGAAAAUAUCCUUUCAGACGAAGGCACCCACCAACAACACUGACAUAUGAUACAUUAGGCACACCCUCUAUUACAC